rnacentral:rRNA from 1 species
UGGGGAAUUUUGGACAAUGGGCGAAAGCCUGAUCCAGCAAUGCCGCGUGUGUGAAGAAGGCCUUCGGGUUGUAAAGCACUUUUGUCCGGAAAGAAAUCCUUGGCUCUAAUACAGUCGGGGGAUGACGGUACCGGAAGAAUAAGCACCGGCUAACUACGUGCCAGCAGCCGCGGUAAUACGUAGGGUGCAAGCGUUAAUCGGAAUUACUGGGCGUAAAGCGUGCGCAGGCGGUUUGCUAAGACCGAUGUGAAAUCCCCGGGCUCAACCUGGGAACUGCAUUGGUGACUGGCAGGCUAGAGUAUGGCAGAGGGGGGUAGAAUUCCACGUGUAGCAGUGAAAUGCGUAGAGAUGUGGAGGAAUACCGAUGGCGAAGGCAGCCCCCUGGGCCAAUACUGGCGCUCAUGCACGAAAGCGUGGGGAGCAAACAGGAUUAGAUACCCUGGUAGUCCACGCCCUAAAACGAUGUCAACUAGUUGUUGGGGAUUCAUUUCCUUAGUAACGUAGCUAACGCGUGAAGUUGACCGCCUGGGGAGUACGGUCGCAAGAUUAAAACUCAAAGGAAUUGACGGGGUCAUAGCUGUUUCCU